GCGGCUGUCAUUGGGGAGUAGCCGCUGCACCCAUUCAGCAGACCUGCGUCAACAGACUUGAGCCUUUGGGCUCAUGGCGCGCGGUAGCCAGGAACCCACGGGUUCCCAGCCUGGCGAGACCUUUGACCAUGCCCCCCGGGUUGCGGCCGGGGGUGGGCAUGGUCAUUGGGUUCUCUCGGCCGCUGAGUGUU
rnacentral:sRNA from 1 species